rnacentral:rRNA from 1 species
AGUGAACGCUGGCGGUAGGCCUAACACAUGCAAGUCGAACGGCAGCACAGAGGAGCUUGCUCCUUGGGUGGCGAGUGGCGGACGGGUGAGGAAUACUUCGGAAUCUACUCUGUCGUGGGGGAUAACGUAGGGAAACUUACGCUAAUACCGCAUACGACCUAGGGGUGAAAGCAGGGGAUCUUCGGACCUUGCGCGAUUGAAUGAGCCGAUGUCGGAUUAGCUAGUUGGCGGGGUUAAGGCCCACCAAGGCGACGAUCCGUAGCUGGUCUGAGAGGAUGAUCAGUCACACUGGAACUGAGACAAGGUCCAGACUCCUACGGGAGGCAGCAGUGGGGAAUAUUGGGCGAUGGGCGCAAGCCUGAUCCAGCCAUACCGCGUGGGUGAAGAAGGCGUUCGGGUUGUAAAGCCCUUUUGUUGGGAAAGAAAUCCAUCUGGUUAAUACCCGGGUGGGAUGACGGUACCCAAAGAAUAAGCACCGGCUAACUUCGUGCCAGCCGCCGCGGUAA